GAGGGUCUGAUCCAAAGCCUAUUGAAAUCAAUGGGAGUAUUUUCAUUGACUUCAAUGAGCUUUGGAUCUGAUCCUUAGUUC
rnacentral:pre_miRNA from 1 species